GAUUUUGGCAUGCAAGUGUUAUGAUUUCAAAUAAAAACUGAACUCUGGGGCACAAUCCUACAUGGACUGAAAACAGAAUUAUUGGGGGAAUUGGAAACAAUGGACAUCUAGAUUAUAAUGGUGAAAUUAAAAGGUCUAGAUACAGCUCAAGAGAUAAAGAUGGAAUUCAUUACUCUUUAAUGGAGGGUGUACAGAAAGGGGAUGGCACUGCAGAUAUUGUUGAACAAAAAUUCCCAGCAUUCCUUUUCAUUGACUAUCCAGCAAGGCUGAUAACCAAAGCUUUCUGUUUGUCCAUACAAAAUGAUGGACAGAAAGGAUAUCAACAUCUCUUCAUUAGAUAUAAUGUGGAGCAGCACAAUGAGCAUUCCAAAUGUUCUCUUGAAGAUAAAAGAAGUGGGGUGAGGGAGGGAAUGGAACAGAGUGAAUUGCAAUCAAGCCAGCUUGUUGAAUUUUUAUUUUUAAUUUUUUUUAUUAAUUUAUCAAUCAAAAUGUAUAAGUUUACAUUUUCCUCAUUAUACAAUAUCUUAAACAUAUCAUGUUGUACACAAUCCGACAGUAAAAAAAAAUCAAAAACAUCUUUAAGCAUAUUUCUUAUCAGUUUUUUAACUUUUCCAUUCCAACUUUACUACAUAUCUCUCUACUACACACCUUUUAUCUACUUAUAAUGUUUUAUUAUUAAUAUUAUUAUUAAUAAUAAUUUAUAAUUCAAAAUGUAUAAAUAUACAUUCUUUCCUCAUUUUACAGUAUCUUAAACAUAUCAUAUUGUAUACAAUCCAACAAUAAAGAAAAAUCAAAAUCAAAGCAUCUUUAAGCAUAUUUCUUAUCAGUUUUAGACUUUUCCAUUACAACUUUACUACAUAUCUCUCUACAACUACUACUUUUAUCUAUUUAUACAUGUUUUAUUUAUUAUUGUUAUUAUUGUUACAGCUUGUUGAAUUAAAUAACUUCAAAAGAGAAUAGUAAGCUUAUAUCUAUGUUAGACCGCAUAUCCCAAAGGUAUUGCAAGCCAACAGUCCUUAUAACAUGCAAAUGUCACCUUUUCGGUGUAGUUGAUGCAUAUGACAAAAGAAAUGCCAUGCAAGAAUGCUCCAAGUCCCAGGAUGAAAGAAACCCUUGAAUGAUCUUAAUCUGUUUUGCUAGAUAUAAGAAAAGUUUUGAUGAAUAGAAGUAACUACUGGGAUUUCUGCUUACACCCAGGUUAAGCCAACAAUUUAUGGUUCACAAUGAACAUCAGAUUGAAAGGAAUUUUGAGUGUUUGCUUCUGUUACAGUACUUAGGUUUAAGACAAAUGCCCAAACUUAUUUUGGCAUAAGGGGCUGCAAGGGUGGAUGGAUGCAUAAAUGAGCCA
ensembl:lncRNA